UUUAGAUGAAGACUGUCAGCAUGAAGAUUGUUGUUCUACUUGGAUUUGUGAUGCUUCUCUCUAUUGCUUUGGCUGAGCAUGAGCAUGGCCAUCAGCAUGUCAUUGAGAAGCGCUCUUCAAGUGAAGAGCGUGUCCGUGGCCCUGGCCCUGGCCGUGGCUUUCCAAACUUUCUCCAGCAGUACAACUACCUUCUGCUUCUGCAAAGACUUGGUCUUGUCCCAGCCCCUGCAGCACCAGCCCCAGCU